rnacentral:lncRNA from 1 species
AAUUGCAAUUGAUUUCCCUUUCGCACUUGAUUUGGGUACAAUUUUGAAUUUGCUAAUGUUGAGGUUGAGGAUGAAUGAUGAUGAGAGAUUUCUGAUUUGUGAGGUUAAAGAAAUGAGAGAUUUCUUAUUUGUGAUUUGAGUCAAUUGCAGUUGUUCUCUGUUCUUUUUUGAAUUAAUGUAAGGUGUAUUUUAUCUCCAGUUGUUUGUUUAUGCACUCUUCUUGUUCGUUAUUUCUAGGCAUGAGAGAUUUAUGAUUUGAGUCAAUUGCAG